UACGUAGGGGGCAAGCGUUAUCCGGAAUUACUGGGUGUAAAGGGAGCGUAGACGGUAAUGUAAGUCUAGAGUGAAAGGCGGGGGCCCAACCCCCGGACUGCUCUGGAAACUAUGUUACUAGAGUGCAGGAGAGGUAAGCGGAAUUCCUAGUGUAGCGGUGAAAUGCGUAGAUAUUAGGAGGAACACCAGUGGCGAAGGCGGCUUACUGGACUGUAACUGACGUUGAGGCUCGAAAGCGUGGGGAGCAAACAGG
rnacentral:rRNA from 1 species